rnacentral:ribozyme from 1 species
UAGUUGAAGUGAAAGAGAGAGAAAAAAAGAAAGAGAAAGAGGAAGAAAACAUCACAAUCCUUGCAUCAUGGCAGUAACUGACGUCAGCUUCGGUUUUUCAGUUAUUUUCC